AAUGAACGCUGGCGGCAUGCCUAACACAUGCAAGUCGAACGAGACCUCCGGGUCUAGUGGCCCCUGGUUGCGUAACGCGAGGGAACCUGCCCUUAGGUUUGGAAUAACUCCCCGACAGGGGUGCUAAUACUGGAUAAUUUCUUCGGACCAAUGAUUUAUCGCCUUUGGAUGGGCCUGCUUUGGAUUCGCUAGUUGGUAGGGUAAAAGCCUACCGAGGCGACGAUCCAUAGCUGGUCUGAGAGGAUGGUCAGCCACACUAGGAGUGAGACACGUCCCAGACCUCUACGGGAGGCAGAAGUGGGGAAUGAUGAACAAUGGGCGAGUGACUAAGCCAGCAAUGCCGCGUGAGUGAUGAAGGCCUUAGGGUUGUAAGGCUCUUUUACUCUGCAUGUUAAGGACAGUACCGGGAGGAUAAGCUCCGGCUAACUCGGU
rnacentral:rRNA from 1 species